rnacentral:rRNA from 1 species
AUUGAACGCUGGCGGCAGGCCUAACACAUGCAAGUCGAGCGGCAGCGGAAGGAAGCUUGCUUCCUUGCCGGCGAGCGGCGGACGGGUGAGUAAUGUCUGGGGAUCUGCCCGAUGGAGGGGGAUAACUACUGGAAACGGUAGCUAAUACCGCAUAACGUCGCAAGACCAAAGUGGGGGACCUUCGGGCCUCACACCAUCGGAUGAACCCAGAUGGGAUUAGCUAGUAGGCGGGGUAAAGGCCCACCUAGGCGACGAUCUCUAGCUGGUCUGAGAGGAUGACCAGCCACACUGGAACUGAGACACGGUCCAGACUCCUACGGGAGGCAGCAGUGGGGAAUAUUGCACAAUGGGGGAAACCCUGAUGCAGCCAUGCCGCGUGUAUGAAGAAGGCCUUCGGGUUGUAAAGUACUUUCAGCGGGGAGGAAGGCAGUGAACUUAAUACGUUCGCUGAUUGACGUUACCCGCAGAAGAAGAACAGGAUAAAUAAGGGAAAGAAGAAGAAGGAAGAC